rnacentral:rRNA from 1 species
UACGAAGGGGGCUAGCGUUGUUCGGAAUUACUGGGCGUAAAGCGCGCGCAGGCGGUUCUCCAAGUCAGUGGUGAAAGCCCGGAGCUCAACUUCGGAAUUGCCAUUGAAACUGUUGAACUAGAGUACGAGAGAGGUGAGUGGAAUUCCCAGUGUAGAGGUGAAAUUCGUAGAUAUUGGGAAGAACACCGGUGGCGAAGGCGGCUCACUGGCUCGUAACUGACGCUCAGGCGCGACAGCGUGGGGAU